GGGUGGGGAAACUGAGGCACGGGAGGGUAUGUUGCCUGUUGUUCCAUGCAAUGGGAUGUAUAUGUGAUUGAUUCGCUGUAGUGCAGUGCUGUUUUAUUCUAUCCUUCUGGCUGGCAGGCUGCUUCACGCUGAAGCUGAAUGCUGGAGUGUAGUAAGGGGCUGAAGUAACACUUGUGCUGGAAAUGCAAUGGGGAAAUGAACAGCGGGAUGCUGGCACCUUUACUGGGGACAUCCUUAGUGGGCUGAUGGUUGGUCCUGGUGAUCUGAGAGCUCAUUUCCAACCUUAACGAUACCAUGAUCCAAGGCUGGGCUGAAAAGCCCAACCUCCACCCGCUCCUACAGCCCUGCACAACUGAGGUCACCAUGAACUUCAGCCUCAACAUCAUCCACCCCACAAGGGUUGAUCCUCCAGGACCACUCAAGGCCAGCAGCUGAUGUAAUGCAGUUACAACGCACAGGAACCAGUCACUGCUUGUUGCCUGCAAGGACUUCAUGUUCUUGAGCCAUAGAAUCAUGUAGUUUGGAGAAGACCUUUGAGAUCACCAAGUCCAACCUCAAUGCAGCCCACUGUGCCCACUGCCCACAUCCCUCAAUGCCACAUCUCAACACUGAACACUUCCAUGGCUGGUGACCCCACUGCUCCCUAUGACACAUCAUGCUCUUCUGGAGAAUAAAUUCUCCUAAUACCCAACAUGAUGCCUUCCAUAGAAUCAUUCACGUUGGAAAAAGACCACUAAGAUCAUCGAGUCCAAUCAUCAACCCAACACCACCACGCCAAGAAACCACAUUGAAACAUCUUUAUCACAUCCCUACCCAGGAUACAAACAUUGAUCUUCCCCUUCUUAAAAAACAACCCAGAAAUGAUAAAAUCCACAUAAAGAGACAAAAAGCAGCUUUUACCCCCAGCCCUCCCCACUGACAUUCCCUUGCAGAACAUUACAGCACUGGUGACCACAAGAAGACAAACACUGUGGUGUCACUUCCCAACGACAGCUCUAUUUCUGCUGUUUCCUGAACUCAUCACCCUUCUUAUUUUCCUCCUUUCUCCCUUUUUUUUCCUACCCCUCCUUCUUUUUAUCACGAAAAUGAUGGUUGUUAUCACAGAAUGUUGUGCCUAACAACUUCUGGCUUCCUUCGGAUGUUUUCAUUCAGCUGCUAAAAUGCUGUAAUGACACUGAGAUAAUGGCCCGCAGAAAUAAAUGAUACAGAUCAAAAUAGAAGGGAUUUGGUUAAAGCAGAAAAGGGAACAAAUAGGAAUUAUCCAUCCUAAUUAGCAUUCACAGACUGCAACUGGGGAAGGAAGGCAAGAAAAGAAAGAAAUCAUAGAGCUGUUAAGGUUGGAAUAGACCUUUAUGAUCAUCAAGUCCGACUGUCAACUCGUUAGCACCGUGCCAAUUAACGACGUCAAAGAACCACAGAAUCAUUAAGGUUGGAAAAGACCUCUAAGAUCAACAAGUCCAGCUGUCAACUCAUCACCAACUGUUCCAACUAAACCACGUCAGAGAAUCAUAGAACCACAGAAUCGUUCAGCUUGGAAAAGACCUCCAAGAUCAAGUCCAACUGUCAACUCAUUACCAAGAUGCCAAUUAACCAUGUCAUAGAAUCACAGAACCACUGAAUCAUUCAGGUUGGAAGAGACCUCUAAGAUCAUCAAGUCCAACCAACAACCAGCACAUCCUUGGGAAUGUUUUUUGGUAGGUCAUGUUGUAGAUCUACCAGAGCCCAAAUCAGCAGCGUAGCCCUGGGGACACAAAGUGGCCACUGCAACAGCACGUCUUGCACCCCCGUGCUGGCAAAUAGUCCAUUGCAACACACUGCACCUGCUGCAGAGACCGAGAUGCUCUAAAACAGCUGGGAGCCCCCAGAAUUAAUAUUUCCCUUUUAAAGAUAACUGCUGGGGGAAAAGCAUGGCCAAUAUAGAUUCAACAUUACCCGGGGUUUUCCAUUAUUCAUCGAAUCUCGCCCCACGCCGUGCUGCAGUGCAUACAUUACCAUAUAUGAUGACAAAGAAAUUGCACAACUCCUGCAAAGAGGCGAUAAAGUGGCCGCCUCGGCUGCUAAACCACCACGCUCAACAGGCCAUCUCUAAUAAGCAGCGUGUAAUUAAAGUCUCUACACACUCA